rnacentral:rRNA from 1 species
GAUGAACGCUGACAGAAUGCUUAACACAUGCAAGUCAACUUGAAUUUGGGUUUUUACCUUAGGUUUGGGUGGCGGACGGGUGAGUAACGCGUAAAGAACUUGCCUCACAGCUAGGGACAACAUUUGGAAACGAAUGCUAAUACCUAAUAUUAUGAUAAUAGGGCAUCCUAUAAUUAUGAAAGCUAUAAGCGCUGUGAGAGAGCUUUGCGUCCCAUUAGCUAGUUGGAGAGGUAACGGCUCACCAAGGCGAUGAUGGGUAGCCGGUCUGAGAGGGUGAUCGGCCACAAGGGGACUGAGACACGGCCCUUACUCCUACGGGAGGCAGCAGUGGGGAAUAUGGGACAAUGGACCGAGAGUCUGAUCCAGCAAUUCUGUGUGCACGAUGAAGUUUUUCGGAAUGUAAAGUGCUUUCAGUUGGGAAGAAACAAAUGACGGUACCAACAGAAGAAGUGACGGCUAAAUACGUG